UACGGAGGGAGCUAGCGUUGUUCGGAAUUACUGGGCGUAAAGCGCGCGUAGGCGGCUUUGUAAGUUAGAGGUGAAAGCCCGGGGCUCAACUCCGGAACUGCCUUUAAGACUGCAUCGCUUGAAUCCGGGAGAGGUGAGUGGAAUUCCGAGUGUAGAGGUGAAAUUCGUAGAUAUUCGGAAGAACACCAGUGGCGAAGGCGGCUCACUGGACCGGUAUUGACGCUGAGGCGCGAAAGCGUGGGGAGCAAACAGG
rnacentral:rRNA from 1 species